GACGAACGCUGGCGGCGUGCUUAACACAUGCAAGUCGAACGGAAAGGCCCUGCUUUUGUGGGGUGCUCGAGUGGCGAACGGGUGAGUAACACGUGAGUAACCUGCCCUUGACUUUGGGAUAACUUCAGGAAACUGGGGCUAAUACCGGAUAGGAGCUCCUGCUGCAUGGGGGGGGUUGGAAAGUUUCGGCGGUUGGGGAUGGACUCGCGGCUUAUCAGCUUGUUGGUGGGGUAGUGGCUUACCAAGGCUUUGACGGGUAGCCGGCCUGCGAGGGUGACCGGCCACAUUGGGCCUGAGAUACGGCCCAGCCUCCUACGGGAGGCAGCGGUGGGGAAUAUUGCACAAUGGGCGGAAGCCUGAUGCAGCAACGCCGCGUGCGUGAUGACGGCCUUCGGGUUGUAAACCGCUUUCGCCUGAGACGAAGCGUGAGUGACGGUAAUGGGUAAAGAAGCACCGGCUAACUACGUG
rnacentral:rRNA from 1 species